rnacentral:rRNA from 1 species
AUUUAAUGGCUGCGGUAUUUUGACCGUACAAAGGUAGCAUAAUCAUUAGUUUAUUAAUUGUAAACUUGUAUGAAUGGUUUAACGAAAUAUUGACUGUCUCAUAUUUAAUAUUAUAAUUUAAAUUUUUAGUUAAAAUGCUAAAAUAUUUUUAUAGGACGAGAAGACCCUAUAGAUCUUUAUAAUUUAUUAGUUUUUUUUAUUUAGUUUAUUUUUUAUAAAAUUGUUUUAUUUUUUUGUUGGGGUGACAUGAAGAUAUAAUUAACUCUUUAUAUUUAUAUUCAAUUAUUUUUGUUUAUUUGACCUUUUAUUAAUGUUAUAAGAUAUAGAUACCUUAGGGAUAACAGCGUAAUUCUUUUUGAGAGUUCAUAUCGACAAGAGAGAUUGCGACCUCGAUGUUGGAUUAAGAUUAUAUUUAGGUGUAGUUGCUUAAUUAUUAAGUCUGUUCGACUUUUAAAUUCUUACAUGAUCUGAGUUCA